rnacentral:rRNA from 1 species
AGAGUUUGAUCAUGGCUCAGAACGAACGCUGGCGGCAUGCCUAACACAUGCAAGUCGAACGAGACCUUCGGGUCUAGUGGCGCACGGGUGCGUAACGCGUGGGAAUCUGCCCUCUGGUUCGGAAUAACUCAGGGAAACUUGAGCUAAUACCGGAUAAUGACUUUGGUCCAAAGAUUUAUCGCCUGAGGAUGAGCCCGCGUCGGAUUAGCUAGUUGGUGAGGUAAAAGCUCACCAAGGCGACGAUCCGUAGCUGGUCUGAGAGGAUGAUCAGCCACACUGGGACUGAGACACGGCCCAGACUCCUACGGGAGGCAGCAGUGGGGAAUAUUGGACAAUGGGCGAAAGCCUGAUCCAGCAAUGCCGCGUGAGUGAUGAAGGCCUUAGGGUUGUAAAGCCCUUUUACCCGGGAUGAUAAUGACAGUACCGGGAGAAUAAGCCCCGGCUAACUUCGUGCCAGCCGCCGCGGUAAUAC